UCCCGUGGUUCAGCGGCUCUGUCAAGUUGAGCUGUGAUGCGUCAACCCGGUGAAUCACAGGCACCGAGGAGGAGGAUAACGAAAGAAGGAGAGCCAUGGAUGGAAAGGAGGGGAGGAAGAGGAGAAAGGGUUAGAAAAAGAGCAGGAGGAGGAGGUAGGCUACAAAAAGGCUCCGCCGUCAUUCAGUCUGUCACACAGACCACACACACCAAGUCAGCGGAGCGUCAAUAUUCAAACGUCAUCCUUUAAUAUCAUCAAUUCACCCAUUUAUAGGAUUACCAUCACAUGCAUUUUUCCUUCAUCUUCUUUGGAGUUGUGUGAGGGAGGGCGAGCUAAUCCACAAGGAGAGAAGACAUUAUUAUCGGUUUAUUUCAGCUCUAAAAUUCACCGGUGGAUGAACUUGUGAGAGCGAACUAAACGGAAUUAAAGGACUUGGAGAAAAUGAAAAGGUUUUGCGGAGUCAAUCAACAUCAGCUCGUCUUGCUAUUGGCUGCUGCCAUGGCAACAGCCCUGGAUCCUUCACACAACCUGGCAAGUGAGAGGAGUUCGAUAGAAAGCACGUACGAGCUGACAAAAUACCUCGAGUAUCAGCUCAAGGAAAUCAAAGACAUAUAUCUGACCUACCUAGGACCCCCAUUCAAUGAGAAGGACUUCUCCCCUCCUCGACCCAACAGUACCGCUCUGGCCCUGCCCAGCGCUGCCACCCGCCUGGAGCUGUGGCACGGCCUGGAAAACCAAGCUCGGCUCGCCCAGAACCAGAAGGCUUACUCUGUCCUGCUGGCAGCCGUCAGGGAUUUGGCCCGCUCCACCCUCUGCCCCGCCCUCAAGAUAUCCCUACUGCACUUUUGCACAGGCCUGGAUGGGCUGCUGGGCUCCAUAUCCGCACUGAUGACCACCCUUGGUUACACACUUCCUCCAUCAUCUUCAAACUUGGAAAGUAAUGCUGGAGAGCUGCAGUACUCUCAGAGGGGGGUCGGGGGCGACCGACCUGCUCCACUGAUUAGCCAGAGCCUUUACAGGUCCAGAGCCGGGACGAGGACAGAGCCCGGUCAGCGUAACAACCAAAGAAGAAGCAGGACAAGGGUGGUCAGAGGAGAGAGGGAGGACAGCAUCACUGUAGACCUGGUGGAAAAAAGGAGAGGGAAAGAAGGUAGGAGAGUGGAGGCGACUGCAGCUGGAGAAAGGAGUGGCGGAUCGACGGAGAAGGGAAGAAGAGAAAGAGGAAGGCGAGUCAGGAGGGAAGAGCCAGAGAGUGGGAAAUGGACUGCCAGCGAAAAAGAGAGAGUAACGGAGGAAGAAGAGGAGGAGCAGGAGCGGGAGGGAGGGGUGGAGAUAUGGGGAAGGAGGAGGUUGCUGAGUAUCAACGAGGAUGUUGAGGAGAAGAGGCAGCCUGAACCCAGGGUACAAGUGUCAUUCCCGGGCACAAGAGGUUCCAGCUCUCUUCAACAACCGACCAUCCAAGCCAAGAACAAUAACAAUCAAUACAGCUACAACAUGAACUCACAUCACAUAAACACACUCAGAAAAGAAGAUGGAUUCAUUGUAGAGGGAAGCAGAGGGUUAAUGUUGGAGGAGGGGAAGCAAACAGAAAUGGAACCAACCUCCUCUUCCUCCACUUUCUAUCUUCAGCGUCGCCUUCCUCGCUCCCUCCUCUCCCCUACCCUCCAAGCUCCUCUGUCAACCCUCUCCCUGCUCUACCAGUUCGGAGCAGGUGAGGAGCACACCCUCCUCUCCCAGCCCAUCCCUCUGUCUUUACAAAGGGGCACCUCCCUUCUUUCGCCUCCCCUGACUCCGCUACUUACCUCUACCUCUUCUGCCUCUUCUUCGCUUUUGUCAGUGCAGCCGACGAUGAACGACUUUGCCAAAAAGGUGGAAGGGUUUUGGAUUUUGAGAGAGCUGCAGAGUUGGCUGUGGCGGUCGGCGAAGGACUUUAACCGCCUCAAGAAGAGACUCAGAGGCUGAGACAUUGAGACACACAAGUGCUUUAUAUAGGAAAUGUAUUAUUUGCACACAAUAAUUGGAAGUGGAAACAAAUUAAGAGCUAGAACAGACAAAAGCACAAAAAAACACACUCCUGCUUAACACGUUCAUUCAUACUGUACUGGAAUAAGUGAAUGAAGGACUAUUUGGCAGGUCACCAGACGCGCUAAUGGAAUAUAACACACACAAAGCCAACACAUUACCAGCACUGUCACCCGCCUGAUUCACACAGCAGCUCAUUGAGCGAGACACACUGAGACUGGGCUGAGUUACCGGACUUCAUGGCUCAUAGAUCAACAGAAAUACCACUGUAGGUGGUUACACACACACACACACACACACACACACACACAUACGCACACACACACACAAGCACACACACACUCCAGAUGUGUGAAUCAGCAAACAUUCAUUUUCUCUUUCAAGGAAGAACAUUUCUGAAUGGGUAAAAGACAAAGGGAGAGGAGGAAAUAGCCAGAGGGAUGAAGAGAAGAGGAAGACGGGAGGAGGCGUGAGUCAAGGGAUGAGCAGUGGCAAUAACGGGCAGAGGGUUAUUGCUGAGUAAUCAGAAAUCGGCCGGUCAGUUACAGUAACUCUACAACAGUGCUUCACAUAAUGUCUACACACACACACAUACACACACACACACACACACACACACACACACACACACACACGCGCACACACAACACACGUAUUUGGUGCCUUAAGAAAAUAGAAAUUCAUUUCUAUGCUACUUUUGAUUAAGUGCUUACCCAUUUGCAACAUUUUAUUAAGAAUUUCACUACAUAGCAACAAAUAUUUAACACAAUCUUAAAAUGUUGUAUAACAAAAUAAGUUCCCCUUAAAAAAAAACACAGUUUUGGGUGUUUGGGAAAUACACUUACUUGCUUUUGUGCUGAGAGUAAGAUGAGAACAUCAAUACCGCUCUCACUUCUGUGCACUUGAUAUACGCCAGGAGCCAGCUGCUGGUUAGCUUUGCUUAGCUUAGCAUGAAGACUGGUCACGGGGGGAAACAGCUCCGUGCAAAGGUAUUAAAAUCCAAAUACCAGCGCCUCUUAAGUUCACUAAUUAACAUGUAAUCAAUUUUAUGUUAAAUCCAGACAAAAACAAAGGUAUAAAACAACAAGUUACCAUUUUGGAAACUUGUGGUCACAGUGAGGUUGCUUGGCUACCAGCGGAGACUGCAGGUACCCACUGUUCUGAGCUACGAAACAUCAAACCAUGAAAGCUUUAAUGUGUGUUCAUUUUAAACUUGUGGUGGGCAGAUAGAUGUGGUAUGUCACUCCCUCUAUCAUCACAAAUUGUCAUUUUCUAGACUUCUGUUUCUGUAUAGAGAUUCUAUUUAACAUUUAACAGUUAUGUUUAAAAGAUAUAAGGUAUAAGGUAAUCAAUCUUCUCAUCUAACUCUCAGUAACAUUGCAAAACACGCCAAGCUAUUACUUUAAAAACAACACAUUAGACACAUUGAUGUGAAUUUGUGCCUUUUAAAUCAUGAAAUCAGAGUUUUUUUCUUUGGCAACUCACAGAUGGCAUGAUUUCUUUUCCAGAAUGAAGAUUGUUGUGUUAUGUUUUUACAAUGUGCCUUAGAUGAUAUGACUAAAGGUUAUGCAUCAUCUCUCUAUAAUAUUUAUUGAACAAGAUGUUUAUUUAUUAUUAAAUCCAGUGUGACUAUACUGUGUUGUAACUCAAAAUAAAAUAAAUACUAGCUUUUGUACAGAGCGUGGUGUUAUUGGUCAUUUGGGAGCCCAUCCGGGGAGAGACAAAAAAGAAAUGCUUAUGGGAUUUUUGUUUGCAAGGGUUUCAGUUUUAUAGGGAUGGUUUCGGGUGAUUGGCACAAGGGGAGAGGAGUUUGGGGUCGGUGUGUUUUCUGGAAAACAAAGACCGGCUCACAUUCGUGACAAAAAAUAGAACGAGAGAGGCGGGGUAUGAGAGAGUUUUUAUUUGUCUGUCCGGGUGAAAAUUUACGAUCAUUUUUCCUUUCAUCUCUCUCUUCCCACCUCCCACUGCAUCAUCCCUCCUCCCACUUUGCUUUCUUUUCUCAUCACACUAUCUCACGAAGCUCCUCUUCCCCCUGAAAACAUCCCUCUGACCUGUCACAGUGAGGGAUUUACAUGAAACAGGCACAGCUAUUUGGCUUCCUCUCCUCGCCCCCAGGCCAGAUAUUACAGGAUCAAUGAGAAUCUCCUUUCCAUCACCUCCAAGGUACACACCUGCACACAAAUUCAAACGUCCGCCCUGACACACACAC